rnacentral:rRNA from 1 species
UACGGGGGGGGCAAGCGUUGUUCGGAAUUACUGGGCGUAAAGGGCUCGUAGGCGGCCAACUAAGUCAGACGUGAAAUCCCUCGGCUUAACCGGGGAACUGCGUCUGAUACUGGAUGGCUUGAGGUUGGGAGAGGGAUGCGGAAUUCCAGGUGUAGCGGUGGAAAUGCGAGAUAUCUGGAGGAACACCAAGUGCGAAGGCGGCUCCUGGGACC